rnacentral:rRNA from 1 species
UAGGGAAUCUUCGGCAAUGGACGGAAGUCUGACCGAGCAACGCCGCGUGAGUGAAGAAGGUUUUCGGAUCGUAAAGCUCUGUUGUAAGAGAAGAACGAGUGUGAGAGUGGAAAGUUCACACUGUGACGGUAUCUUACCAGAAAGGGACGGCUAACUACGUGCCAGCAGCCGCGGUAAUACGUAGGUCCCGAGCGUUGUCCGGAUUUAUUGGGCGUAAAGCGAGCGCAGGCGGUUAGAUAAGUCUGAAGUUAAAGGCUGUGGCUUAACCAUAGUACGCUUUGGAAACUGUUUAACUUGAGUGCAAGAGGGGAGAGUGGAAUUCCAUGUGUAGCGGUGAAAUGCGUAGAUAUAUGGAGGAACACCGGUGGCGAAAGCGGCUCUCUGGCUUGUAACUGACGCUGAGGCUCGAAAGCGUGGGGAGCAAACAGGAUUAGAUACCCUGGUAGUCCACGCCGUAAACGAUGAGUGCUAGGUGUUAGACCCUUCCCGGGGUUUAGUGCCGCAGCUAACGCAUUAAGCACUCCGCCUGGGGAGUACGACCGCAAGGUUG